GCCUCUAUAGCUUAACGGAUAAAGCAACGGUCUUCUAAACCGUCGAUCUAGGUUCGAUUCCUAGUAGAGGCA
rnacentral:tRNA from 1 species